UUCAUGUAGCCAUUAUAUGACUUGUAUUUUUCAGCAAUGGAUGGAGUGCCAUUCAUGAUCUCUGAGAAGUUUGCCUGUGCCUCGUCUGAUCUGCAGCAAGUGGAUCUGAUGGGCAUCACAAUCAAGUCACUGGCUGAAAUUGAGAAAGAGUAUGAUUACAGUUUCCGCACAGAACACAGUGCAGCAGCUCGCCUCCCUCCCAGUCCCACACGGACCUCCCUGAGCUCCGAGGCUUGAAGACCUGCACCUCACCCCACCCUUCAACACUCUCCUCUGUAGAUACCAGAAGGAGAGACCUGUACACAACUACUGACCUGCCCACAACACAAAGUGAUGGCACAACACUCCAAAA